AACGUAGGGCGCAAGCGUUGCGCGGAAUUAUUGGGCGUAAAGGGCGUGUAGGCGGCCUUUUAAGUCCAGCGUGAAAUCCUCCGGCUUAACCGGAGAAGGGCGCUGGAUACUGGAAGGCUCGAGUUCGGGAGAGGGAGGUAGAAUUCCCGGUGUAGCGGUGAAAUGCGUAGAUAUCGGGAGGAAUACCCGUGGCGUAAGCGGCCUCCUGGCCCGACACUGACGCUGAAACGCAAAAGCGUGGGGAG
rnacentral:rRNA from 1 species